AGUGAACGCUGGCGGUAGGCCUAACACAUGCAAGUCGAACGGCAGCACAGUAAGAGCUUGCUCUUACGGGUGGCGAGUGGCGGACGGGUGAGGAAUACAUCGGAAUCUACUUUUUCGUGGGGGAUAACGUAGGGAAACUUACGCUAAUACCGCAUACGACCUACGGGUGAAAGCAGGGGAUCUUCGGACCUUGCGCGAUUGAAUGAGCCGAUGUCGGAUUAGCUAGUUGGCGGGGUAAAGGCCCACCAAGGCGACGAUCCGUAGCUGGUCUGAGAGGAUGAUCAGCUACACUGGAACUGAGACACGGUCCAGACUCCUACGGGAGGCAGCAGUGGGGAAUAUUGGACAAUGGGCGCAAGCCUGAUCCAGCCAUACCGCGUGGGUGAAGAAGGCCUUCGGGUCGUAAAGCCCUUUUGUUGGGAAAGAAAAGCAGCAGGUUAAUACCCCGCUGUUCUGACGGUACCCAAAGAAUAAGCACCGGCUAACUUCGUG
rnacentral:rRNA from 1 species